rnacentral:rRNA from 1 species
AUACGUAGGGUGCAAGCGUUAAUCGGAAUUACUGGGCGUAAAGCGUGCGCAGGCGGUUUUGUAAGACAGUGGUGAAAUCCCCGGGCUCAACCUGGGAACUGCCAUUGUGACUGCAAGGCUGGAGUGCGGCAGAGGGGGAUGGAAUUCCGCGUGUAGCAGUGAAAUGCGUAGAUAUGCGGAGGAACACCGAUGGCGAAGGCAAUCCCCUGGGCCUGCACUGACGCUCAUGCACGAAAGCGUGGGGAGCAAACAGGAUUAGAUACCCUGGUAGUCCACGCCCUAAACGAUGUCAACUGGUUGUUGGGGAUUUAUUUUCUCAGUAACGAAGCUAACGCGUGAAGUUGACCGCCUGGGGAGUACGGUCGCAAGACUGAAACUCAAAUGAAUCGACGGGG